rnacentral:rRNA from 1 species
UGAGGAAUAUUGGUCAAUGGACGAGAGUCUGAACCAGCCAAGUAGCGUGAAGGAAGACUGCCCUAUGGGUUGUAAACUUCUUUUAUAAGGGAAUAAAGAGCUCUACGUGUAGGGCUUUGCAUGUACCUUAUGAAUAAGCAUCGGCUAAUUCCGUGCCAGCAGCCGCGGUAAUACGGAAGAUGCGAGCGUUAUCCGGAUUUAUUGGGUUUAAAGGGAGCGUAGGCGGGAAGUUAAGUCAGUUGUGAAAGUCUGCGGCUCAACCGUAGAAUUGCAGUUGAUACUGGCUUUCUUGAGUGCGGCAGAGGCAGGCGGAAUUCGUGGUGUAGCGGUGAAAUGCUUAGAUAUCACGAAGAACCCCGAUUGCGAAGGCAGCUUGCUGGACCGUAACUGACGCUGAUGCUCGAAAGUGCGGGAAUCAAACAGG